GAGUUUGAUCUUGGCUCAGGACGAACGCUGGCGGCGUGCUUAACACGUGCAAGUCGAGCGGAAAGGCCCUUUCGGGGGUACUCGAGCGGCGAACGGGUGAGUAACACGUGAGUAACCUGCCCUGGACUUUGGGAUAACCCUCGGAAACGGGGGCUAAUACCGAAUAUUACUGCUGGCCGCAUGGUUGGUGGUGGAAAGUUUUUCGGUCUGGGAUGGGCUCGCGGCCUAUCAGCUUGUUGGUGGGGUGAUGGCCUACCAAGGCGACGACGGGUAGCCGGCCUGAGAGGGCGACCGGCCACACUGGGACUGAGACACGGCCCAGACUCCUACGGGAGGCAGCAGUGGGGAAUAUUGCACAAUGGGCGGAAGCCUGAUGCAGCGACGCCGCGUGAGGGAUGACGGCCUCGG
rnacentral:rRNA from 1 species